rnacentral:rRNA from 1 species
GACGAACGCUGCGGCGUGCCUAAUACAUGCAAGUAGAACGCUGAAGGAGGAGCUUGCUUCUCUGGAUGAGUUGCGAACGGGUGAGUAACGCGUAGGUAACCUGCCUGGUAGCGGGGGAUAACUAUUGGAAACGAUAGCUAAUACCGCAUAAGAGUAGAUGUUGCAUGACAUUUACUUAAAAGGUGCAAUUGCAUCACUACCAGAUGGACCUGCGUUGUAUUAGCUAGUUGGUGGGGUAACGGCUCACCAAGGCGACGAUACAUAGCCGACCUGAGAGGGUGAUCGGCCACACUGGGACUGAGACACGGCCCAGACUCCUACGGGAGGCAGCAGUAGGGAAUCUUCGGCAAUGGACGGAAGUCUGACCGAGCAACGCCGCGUGAGUGAAGAAGGUUUUCGGAUCGUAAAGCUCUGUUGUAAGAGAAGAACGAGUGUGAGAGUGGAAAG